rnacentral:rRNA from 1 species
CAGGCUUAACACAUGCAAGUCGAGGGGCAGCAUGGUCUUAGCUUGCUAAGGCCGAUGGCGACCGGCGCACGGGUGAGUAACGCGUAUCCAACCUGCCUUACACUCUUGGACAGCCUUCUGAAAGGGAGAUUAAUACAAGAUGUUAUCAUGAGUAAGCAUUUUCGCAUGAUUAAAGGUUUACCGGUGUAUGAUGGGGAUGCGUUCCAUUAGAUAGUAGGCGGGGUAACGGCCCACCUAGUCUUCGAUGGAUAGGGGUUCUGAGAGGAAGGUCCCCCACAUUGGAACUGAGACACGGUCCAAACUCCUACGGGAGGCAGCAGUGAGGAAUAUUGGUCAAUGGACGAGAGUCUGAACCAGCCAAGUAGCGUGAAGGAUGAAGGUUCUAUGGAUUGUAAACUUCUUUUAUACGGGAAUAAACGGAUCCACGUGUGGAUUUUUGCAUGUACCGUAUGAAUAAGGAUCGGCUAACUCCGUGCCAGCAGCCGCGGUAAUACGGAGGAUCCGAGCGUUAUCCGGAUUUAUUGGGUUUAAAGGGAGCGUAGAUGGGUUGUUAAGUCAGUUGUGAAAGUUUGCGGCUCAACCGUAAAAUUGCAAUUGAUACUGGCAGUCUUGAGUACAGUUGAGGUAGGCGGAAUUCGUGGUGUAGCGGUGAAAUGCUUAGAUAUCACGAAGAACUCCGAUUGCGAAGGCAGCUUACUAACCUGUAACUGACAUUGAUGCUCGAAAGUGUGGGUAUCAAACAGGAUUAGAUACCCUGGUAGUCCACACGGUAAACGAUGAAUACUCGCUGUAGGCGAUAUACAGUCUGCGGCCAAGCGAAAGCAUUAAGUAUUCCACCUGGGGAGUACGCCGGCAACGGUGAAACUCAAAGGAAUUGACGGGGGCCCGCACAAGCGGAGGAACAUGUGGUUUAAUUCGAUGAUACGCGAGGAACCUUACCCGGGCUUAAAUUGCAACCGAAUAUGGCGGAAACGCUAUAGCUAGCAAUAGCGGUUGUGAAGGUGCUGCAUGGUUGUCGUCAGCUCGUGCCGUGAGGUGUCGGCUUAAGUGCCAUAACGAGCGCAACCCUUGCCGAUAGUUACUAACAGGUUAUGCUGAGGACUCUGUCGGGACUGCCAUCGUAAGAUGUGAGGAAGGUGGGGAUGACGUCAAAUCAGCACGGCCCUUACGUCCGGGGCUACACACGUGUUACAAUGGGGGGUACAGAGGGCUGCUACCACGCAAGUGGAUGCCAAUCCCAAAAACCUCUCUCAGUUCGGAUUGAAGUCUGCAACCCGACUUCAUGAAGCUGGAUUCGCUAGUAAUCGCGCAUCAGCCACGGCGCGGUGAAUACGUUCCCGGGCCUUGUACACACCGCCCGUCAAGCCAUGGGAGCCGGGGGUACCUGAAGUGCGUAACCGCAAGGAGCGCCCUAGGGUAAAACUGGUGACU